CUGAGUAGCUGGGACUACAGGCACACACCACCACAUCGAAGUGUUCAGACAGUGUCAUCCGGACUCUGCCUCUGCAUCUUUCAGUUCUGCUUCAACAUCGGCUCCUGCUUCAGUAGGCUGUGAAGGUGCUGCACUGAGACAACAUUACCGACUUUAUGAUAUGUGGUAGUUAAGAGUAUACAGAGGG